AUCUACUACUGACUGAAAAAUUCCAGGCACCCAAGCUUUUCAUAAUCCCAUGGUCACAGACUCAAUCUGGGAUUCAGCUCCUAAAGUAUGUCCUUUGGUGCUUCACCAUGUGCUGUCUCUCUGGGCUUUUCUUCACUACCAGAGAGAUUGAUGCAGCUGCAAUUGAUGCAGCAAGUGUCAGUCAAGGAGGUCUAGUGAGGACCCACUAUAUCGAUGGCAGAGCACUCUCCAGUCGACCCUGGUACUUCACCUCCCUGAGAAGAUUAAGGUAAGUCGACCAGAGAGCAUCUCCCAUUGACGCAGCGCCGUGAAGACACCGGGCAUGGAUCACACCAUAUCUCCAUGGUGCACCCAGCCUCUACAUCUUCAGAAGAGGAAUGGAAAUCUGAGGGAGAGAAAAUCCUCUCAACCGCUCUCAAGUAGUUGUAAUGCAUUUUCCUCAGGCCCCUACCAUGAGGUGGAGUCUGCAACUCCACUCCCUGAUUGUCCUGAGAUGAGGAGAAUGGCCUCUACUCAACACCUUCUGAUCUGUUAGGAGCUUGCCAGUGAUGCUGUUUGCCAGCAGCAAAGGAGCUUGGAUAUGGCAUGGCUGUAACUCUUGACCAUGGAGACUGAUAGUCCAGAAGAUAUUAAGCUCCAGCCAAUUUCUAUUUUCUCUUUCAAUGAUUGCUAACCUCAUCUCUCCAGGGUCUGCAAUUCCUGCUAGCCUGUAAACCAGUGUGGGUAAUAUCUGUCUCUAAUUUGUAAUUACUGUGUCUACAUCACAAUGAGAUGGAUCAAGCAUUUUUGGGCCUGCCUUUAUUUAAUUAGUGGACACAUGCAAUUAGUGCUGAAGUACAAUUGUGUGGAGCAGCUCCUCAGUACUUUAAAGUUUUUUUUUCCAUGUCCACAUUUUGUGUAUCGCUCACUUGCUGUAUCCAUAAUAUACAGCAGAUCAUUGUUACUAGCAUUAAUAUCAUUCAGUGUUCUGCAUAUUUUUCAACAAAAUUUGUUUUUGUGGAAAAAAACAAGGACAGUACUUUGUAGAAUUGAAGCAGACAGUCUGCUUCUGAAUUCAUGCCUCUUCCCUG